AUGAACACAACAAGGAACUAUACUUUUCUCCAGUUCACAAUAUUCUUAAUUGCUUUCUUCAUCAUUACAUCAGAUAUGUGCAAGAAAACAGAAGCACAGUCACCUAUUGUGACCUGGCCAUGUGUAUCACCAAAACCUUGCAAAGUUAGCAGCACUUUUAGUUGCCCGUGUAUUAAAAAUCAAUGUCAAUGUGGAAAACCACCUUUUGAUGAUAACAAUUCUAUUGCACCAUCCUCAAUUGCAAAUUGA